rnacentral:rRNA from 1 species
GAUGAACGCUAGCGGCAGGCUUAAUACAUGCAAGUCGAGGGGCAGCACGAAUAGCAACAUUUGGUGGCGACCGGCGCACGGGUGCGUAACACGUAUACAACCUACCUAUAACAGGGGGAUAGCCUUUCGAAAGAGAGAUUAAUACCCCGUAAUAAAUUGAGUGGCAUCACUUGAUUUUGAAAGCUACGGCGGUUAUAGAUGGGUAUGCGUCUGAUUAGCUAGUUGGUGAGGUAACGGCUCACCAAGGCGACGAUCAGUAGGGGAUCUGAGAGGACUAACCCCCACACUGGUACUGAGACACGGACCAGACUCCUACGGGAGCAGCAGUAAGGAAUAUUGGUCAAUGGAGGCAACUCUGAACCAGCCAUGCCGCGUGCAGGAUGACGGCCCUAUGGGUUGUAAACUGCUUUUGUACCAGAGAAAACCUACUCACGUGUGAGUAGCUGAUAGUAUGGUAAGAAUAAGCAUCGGCUAACUUCGUGCCAGCAG